rnacentral:tRNA from 1 species
GUAGAUAUAGUUUAACUAAAACAUUAGAUUGUGGAUCUAACCAUAGAGACUCACCACCUCUUAUUUACC